rnacentral:rRNA from 1 species
GGGGAGCGAACAGGAUUAGAUGCCCCUGGUAGUCCACACCGUGAAACGUGGGAUGCUGGAUGUGGGGCACCCGUUCCAAGGGGUUCCGUGUCGGAGCUAACGCGUUAAGCAUCCCCACCUGGGGAGUUCGACCGCAAGGCUAAAACUCAAAGAAAUUGACGGGGACCCGCACAAGCGGCGGAGCAUGCGGAUUAAUUCGAUGCAACGCGAAGAACCUUACCUGGGCUUGACAUGUUCCCGACGGUCGUAGAGAUACGGCUUCCCUUCGGGGCGGGUUCACAGGUGGUGCAUGGUCGUCGUCAGCUCGUGUCGUGAGAUGUUGGGUUAAGUCCCGCAACGAGCGCAACCCUCGCCCCGUGUUGCCAGCGGAUUAUGCCGGGAACUCACGGGGGACCACCGGGGUUAACUCGGAGGAAGGUGGGGAUGACGUCAGAUCAUCAUGCCCCUUACGUCCAGGGCUUCACGCAUGCUACAAUGGCCGGUACAACGGGAUGCGACGCGGCGACGCGGAGCGGAUCCCUGAAAAACCGGUCUCAGUUCGGAUCGCAGUCUGCAACUCGACUGCGUGAAGGCGGAGUCGCUAGUAAUCGCGAAUCAGCAACGUCCGGUGAAUGCGUUCCCGGACCUUG